GCUCCACUUUAAUCCAAUCAUUCAAACCUACAAUACAUCUAAAAAUCAACCAUUCUUAAGAACCUUUUUCAACAACUACAUAAUCCACUUCCAUAGCUCUUCUUCCUUCAGUUCAAUAUUCAACCAUUCCAUGAUUCACCAAAACAUUCUGAAAACAAAUUUCAUCAUUCUUGAUACUUUCUUGAAUUCGUCGGAUUUUAAUUUGAGAACGUUUUUAGGCGGAAUUGAACUAACGACAUAGCAGAUGCAAUAUUCUCGACGCUUAUACCAUUUGAUAUAUAGCAAGUUUUUUGGAUAUUCUUCUUAAUUAAGACUCAUAUCAGAAUUUUGAUGUUUAAAGAUUUUCACCAACAAGCUGAGCUGCAAAUCAGGAACGGAAGCACCAAGUAGAUUAAUUCAUCUUGGUUCACUAUCAGAGGUCUCAUUCUCACAUAAUAUACACAUCAGCAUCCGCGUUUAAUGACGUCACUAUUACAUAUCAUUGACCAAGUCUUAUUCAAUACUCUUAAAUCUUAAUUAAAAGCAAUAAAAAAAUAAAAGUAAUUUGAAAUUUGAAAUGA